AGUGGGGAAUUUUGGACAAUGGGGGCAACCCUGAUCCAGCAAUGCCGCGUGAGUGAAGAAGGCCUUCGGGUUGUAAAGCUCUUUUGUCCGGGAAGAAAUCCUUCUGGCUAAUACCUGGAAGGGAUGACGGUACUGGAAGAAUAAGCACCGGCUAACUACGUGCCAGCAGCCGCGGUAAUACGUAGGGUGCAAGCGUUAAUCGGAAUUACUGGGCGUAAAGCGUGCGCAGGCGGUUGUGCAAGACCGAUGUGAAAGCCCCGGGCUCAACCUGGGAACGGCAUUGGUGACUGCACGGCUAGAGUGUGUCAGAGGGGGGUAGAAUUCCACGUGUAGCAGUGAAAUGCGUAGAGAUGUGGAGGAAUACCGAUGGCGAAGGCAGCCCCCUGGGAUAACACUGACGCUCAUGCACGAAAGCGUGGGGAGCAAA
rnacentral:rRNA from 1 species